rnacentral:rRNA from 1 species
GCCUACACAUGCAAGUCGAGCGGACAGAUGGGAGCUUGCUCCCUGAUGUUAGCGGCGGACGGGUGAGUAACACGUGGGUAACCUGCCUGUAAGACUGGGAUAACUCCGGGAAACCGGGGCUAAUACCGGAUGGUUGUCUGAACCGCAUGGUUCAGACAUAAAAGGUGGCUUCGGCUACCACUUACAGAUGGACCCGCGGCGCAUUAGCUAGUUGGUGAGGUAACGGCUCACCAAGGCGACGAUGCGUAGCCGACCUGAGAGGGUGAUCGGCACACUGGGACUGAGACACGGCCCAGACUCCUACGGGAGGCAGCAGUAGGGAAUCUUCCGCAAUGGACGAAAGUCUGACGGAGCAACGCCGCGUGAGUGAUGAAGGUUUUCGGAUCGUAAAGCUCUGUUGUUAGGGAAGAACAAGUGCCGUUCAAAUAGGGCGGCACCUUGACGGUACCUAACCAGAAAGCCACGG